rnacentral:rRNA from 1 species
GCCUAGGUGGGAUUAGCUAGUUGGUGAGGUAAGGGCUCACCAAGGCGACGAUCCCUAGCUGGUCUGAGAGGAUGAUCAGCCACACUGGAACUGAGACACGGUCCAGACUCCUACGGGAGGCAGCAGUGGGGAAUAUUGCACAAUGGGCGCAAGCCUGAUGCAGCCAUGCCGCGUGUGUGAAGAAGGCCUUCGGGUUGUAAAGCACUUUCAGUCGUGAGGAAGGUAGUGUAGUUAAUAGCUGCAUUAUUUGACGUUAGCGACAGAAGAAGCACCGGCUAACUCCGUGCCAGCAGCCGCGGUAAUACGGAGGGUGCGAGCGUUAAUCGGAAUUACUGGGCGUAAAGCGCAUGCAGGUGGUUUGUUAAGUCAGAUGUGAAAGCCCGGGGCUCAACCUCGGAAUAGCAUUUGAAACUGGCAGACUAGAGUACUGUAGAGGGGGGUAGAAUUUCAGGUGUAGCGGUGAAAUGCGUAGAGAUCUGAAGGAAUACCGGUGGCGAAGGCGGCCCCCUGGACAGAUACUGACACUCAGAUGCGAAAGCGUGGGGAGCAAACAGGAUUAGAUACCCUGGUAGUCCACGCCGUAAACGAUGUCUACUUGGAGGUUGUGGCCUUGAGCCGUGGCUUUCGGAGCUAACGCGUUAAGUAGACCGCCUGGGGAGUACGGUCGCAAGAUUAAAACUCAAAUGAAUUGACGGGGGCCCGCACAAGCGGUGGAGCAUGUGGUUUAAUUCGAUGCAACGCGAAGAACCUUACCUACUCUUGACAUCCAGAGAACUUUCCAGAGAUGGAUUGGUGCCUUCGGGAACUCUGAGACAGGU